AUGAACUUCUAUGAUGGACGUGAAGAAACUCCUUUCCUGCCAAGGAGUAAGGUUGUCGACGUUUUAAAGAAAAAGAUUGGCCUCCCGCUACCAUUGGAAAGAGGAUUGAACCAGCCUGAGGAAAUACAGGGAGGGUGGAAGGAAAAUAGGUGGCCCGUGCCUGCGCCAUAUUGGUACCAUGGUGUACUUGAGGUGGAUAGGUGGGUUUUACCGGACCUUCAUGGAAGGAGUCUCCAAUAG
rnacentral:rRNA from 1 species